CUGUAAUUGGAAUGAGUACACUUUAAAUCCUUUAACAAGGACCUAUUGGAGGGCAAGUCUGGUGCCAGCAGCCGCGGUAACUCCAGCUCCAAUAGCGUAUAUUAAAGUUGUUGCGGUUAAAACGUUCGUAGUUGAACUUGUGCUUCAUACGGGUAGUACAACUAUAAUUGUAGUUUGUACUGUACCUUAUGUAUGUAAGCGUAUUACCGGUGGAGUUCUUAUAUAUAAAUACUUUAUUUUCCUCCUAUAUAAACCUGCUUCAGUGCUCUUUACCGAGUGUUGUUGUGGGCCGGUACAAUUACUUUGAACAAAUUAGAGUGCUUAAAGCAGGCUCCAAAUGCCUGAAUAUUUUGUGCAUGGAAUAAUGAAAUAAGACCUCUGUUCUACUUUCAUUGGUUUUUAGAUCAAGAGGUAAUGAUUAAUAGAAGCAGUUUGGGGGCAUUAGUAUUACGACGCGAGAGGUGAAAUUCUUGGACCGUCGUAAGACUAACUUAAGCGAAAGCAUUUGCCAAAGAUGUUUUCAUUAAUCAAGAACGAAAGUUAGAGGUUCGAAGGCGAUCAGAUACCGCCCUAGUUCUAACCAUAAACGAUGCCAGCUAGCAAUUGGGUGUAGCUACUCUCAUGGCUCUCUCAGUCGCUUCCCGGGAAACCAAAGCUUUUGGGCUCCGGGGGAAGUAUGGUUGCAAAGCUGAAACUUAAAGGAAUUGACGGAAGGGCACCACCAGGAGU
rnacentral:rRNA from 1 species